rnacentral:rRNA from 1 species
UGGGGAAUAUUGGGCAAUGGGCGCAAGCCUGACCCAGCAACGCCGCGUGAAGGAAGAAGGCUUUCGGGUUGUAAACUUCUUUUGUCAGGGAAGAGCAGAAGACGGUACCUGACGAAUAAGCCACGGCUAACUACGUGCCAGCAGCCGCGGUAAUACGUAGGUGGCAAGCGUUGUCCGGAUUUACUGGGUGUAAAGGGCGUGUAGCCGGGCUGACAAGUCAGAUGUGAAAUCCACGGGCUUAACCUGUGAACUGCAUUUGAAACUGUUGGUCUUGAGUAUCGGAGAGGCAGGCGGAAUUCCUAGUGUAGCGGUGAAAUGCGUAGAUAUUAGGAGGAACACCAGUGGCGAAGGCGGCCUGCUGGACGACAACUGACGGUGAGGCGCGAAAGCGUGGGGAGCAAACAGG